AUGGGGUGCAGCAGGCGCGGAACCUCCGCAAUACACGAAAGUGUGACGGGGUUACCCAAAGUGUUCAUUUAUGAACUGUGGUAGGUGAGUAAUGUCCCCUACUAGAAAGGAGAGGGCAAGGCUGGUGCCAGCCGCCGCGGUAAAACCAGCUCUUCAAGUGGUCGGGAUAAUUAUUGGGCUUAAAGUGUCCGUAGCCGGUUUAGUAAGUUCCUGGUAAAAUCAGGUAGCCUAACUAUCUGCAUGCUAGGAAUACUGCUAUACUAGAGGGCGGGAGAGGUCUGAGGUACUACAGGGGUAGGGGUGAAAUCUUAUAAUCCUUGUAGGACCACCAGUGGCGAAGGCGUCAGACUGGAACGUGCCUGACGGUGAGGGACGAAAGCCAGGGGAGCGAACCGGAUUAGAUACCCGGGUAGUCCUGGCCGUAAACGAUGCAUACUAGGUGAUGGCAUGGCCAUGAGCCGUGUCAGUGCCGUAGGGAAACCGUUAAGUGUGCCGCCUGGGAAGUACGGUCGCAAGGCUAAAACUUAAAGGAAUUGGCGGGGGAGCAC
rnacentral:rRNA from 1 species